rnacentral:rRNA from 1 species
AGAGUUUGAUCCUGGCUCAGGACGAACGCUGGCGGCGUGCCUAAUACAUGCAAGUCGAGCGGAUCGAUGGGAGCUUGCUCCCCUGAGAUCAGCGGCGGACGGGUGAGUAACACGUGGGUAACCUGCCUGUAAGACUGGGAUAACUCCGGGAAACCGGGGCUAAUACCGGAUAACACCUACCCCCGCAUGGGGGAAGGUUGAAAGGUGGCUUCGGCUAUCACUUACAGAUGGACCCGCGGCGCAUUAGCUAGUUGGUGAGGUAAUGGCUCACCAAGGCGACGAUGCGUAGCCGACCUGAGAGGGUGAUCGGCCACACUGGGACUGAGACACGGCCCAGACUCCUACGGGAGGCAGCAGUAGGGAAUCUUCCGCAAUGGACGAAAGUCUGACGGAGCAACGCCGCGUGAGUGAAGAAGGUUUUCGGAUCGUAAAACUCUGUUGUUAGGGAAGAACAAGUGCCGUUCGAAUAGGGCGGCGCCUUGACGGUACC